UGUACGAUAAAGACAAGAUGCAAGACAAGGGACCACCCUUAAAUAGAACCUCCGGAGGAUGUGUCGUGCAAGGAAGUCAUUGAUCUCCGGAGAAUGCUUUUGGAACGUUCAACUUCUCUUCGACUUCAAGAAGUUGAUUUGCUUGCUUAACAAGGUCCUACGAUGGGUCAUCAUCGAUGGUUUUUAGGUUGGGUGAGUCUUGCAAAUCAUUCCUUCCGCUUGAUUAUGGUCCAAGAAACUCCACGUAACAAGGAAACGUGAAGAAUCCAAUGUCGAAAGCGACAGAGGAAAGCGAAUGACUCUCAAUCAAAGAAAAGGGCAGACAAAAAAGGUUGCUGCUGACUUCCCAACUUGCGUGCAAUCAAGUUCAAACCAUUCGCGCGAUGCGGGUCGCACAAAUGACAGCUUGCCGAACGGAAAGCUGCAUUCUUACAUUGCCAGUGACUAGUCCAGUUCGUUACCUCCAUUGGUUCUCACGUAUUAAAAUUUGCCUCUUCGCAUGUGAUGCAGAUGGGCAUUUUUCACCAUGCAAAAGCUGCGUGCUAGCUCAUUGUAUUAAUACGUGAAAAACAUGCAAACAUUGUAUGGCCGGAUUUCCGUUUAUUUGAAGCAUCGUUAAUUAGGUAGGCACAGAAAAUGUAUGUGCUCAUCUGUA